GGAGGGUCGGAUGUCUGUUUGGCUGUGGGCAGGAGAGGAGGACGCUGAGCUUGUUUCUGAACUGAAGCAAUUGAAGUAUGUGUUUAGUUCAUUGGCUCUGUCUGGAAAUCCAUCAGUCUCCUACUGCUUGAAGCCUGUGAUCGUCUUCAUCCCUGACCGCACCAUUUGUAUUUAAUCCCCUUAGUUAGAUGAACUAACCAUCAUAAAGACAUAGGAGCGCACCAGCCAGGUCUGGGACACAGUUGUGGAGAAGCUUAAAAACAAUACAAUGGUUGUGAAUGCCCCGUUAAGCUAUUUUAAGGCAUUAUUCAGAAAUGCAAAGAUCACAGCAGAACUGCAAACCUACACGUCUGACUUAAACUGACAGAUGAGGCAAAAAGUGUAUGAUUCAGACAAGCAGCCAAGAGGUCCAAGGUAACUCAGGAGGAGCUACAGAGAUACAGAACUCAAGUGGGAGAAUCUGCAUGCCUACUUGUGCUCUCCACAAAUCUGACCUUUAUGAAGGGAAUCCGUUGUUGAAAAAAAAAGCAAUAAGCUUUUUUAAAGUUUGAAUUAGGUUCUCAAGAUACCAGAAAUGGGUCUGAACAGUGCAUGACUAAGGAUGGGUUCUAGCUCAUUGGAUGUUUCUUCUGGGGAGAACUGUUGAGAUAGGACAUCAGGUUUGAUGUUUCUGGAACCUGGGCAAUAAGUGACGAAGAAACUGAAACAAAAGAAAAAAACAGUGACCAACGGGAUUGAUUGAAUUAAACGUCUUAGCUGUCUGGAGGUAGGAGAAGUUCUUGUUGUCUGUCCAAACAAUUAUAGGCUGCUCCGUGCCCUCCAGAUAGUGUCUCUAUUACUGUAGUGAUAGCUUGAUAGCAAGAGGACCCAAUCCCCAAUGUAAUAAUGUCUUUGGCGAGAAACGUUUUUAAAAGAAAGCACGUGGAUGGAGCGUAUAAUCAGAGGACGAUCUUUAGUAGAGUACAGCAUCUAGGCCAGAAUCUGAAGCGAUGACCUCCAAACUGAAUUUAAUGGAAAGAUCUGAAUGGGUCUGGAUAGGAGCUGAGGAGAAUCUUUCCUUAAGUUCAGAGAAGGCGUGUUCUGCUUCAGGUAACCAGAGAAAAGGUUUCUUAGUGGAGGGUCGGGGAUCACCUGUCCACCCUGGAAAACAAAGUCUAGGAAGGUUAUCAACUUAGUGGGAACUCACAUUUUUCCGCUUCUACAAAGAGAUGGUUUUUGACUGACCUCUAGAUGACCAAUCUCACAUGGGAUCGACGAUCCUCUAGAAUUCAAGAAGAGAUCAAGAUAUCAUCCAAGUAGGUGAAGACAAAAAUGUUCAAAAAGUCUCUAGGAACAUCAUUUACAAGAGCCUAAAUGACUGCAGGGGCAUCAGUUAGGCCAAAUGGCAUCACAAGGCAUUCAUAAUGGAUCUCUCUCUACGUCUAAGGCUUAUUCAUCUUUAAGUUUGUCAUUUAAUGAAUUGAGGAAGGUUCCUCUUAGGGCAGGUGAGUUCUAGUCUGCUUCUGCCACCAGGGUACGGAAGUCUAUGGCCAUAGAUCUGUUUCCUUGUUUAAGGUUUCAUAAUCUUUUUGCCAUUUUCUCAUCACUAACUUUGUACACAAAGGUCUGUUUCAAGAGGUCUAGAAACUCAGCAUAAAAUAAGAGAUUUAUUGUAGUUAUAUAUAUGAUUUCCUUCGCCCACCUGAGCCUAGUACCUGAGUAGACCGAUAAACUAAGAAAUAUUACUGGAGUCAUCGGGAAAUGAGCAAGGAGAUCAGUAGAACACCAGGGAACACUGAAACAGGAAACCCCGACAUCUACCAAGCUCCCUUGAAAAAAGUUCUGAAGUCAGGGAGACAGCGCUUUGGACGACAAAAAAGGCAGCAUCAGGUGGAGAAGCGGGAUUAGUGUAAAAAGAGGGGAAAAUACAUGGAGUGGGGUUAGUCCGAGGAGGCGGAAGUCUUAAAUCAUCUGGAAACCUAAUCUAGAUUUUGAGCCAUUGUUGUCUGUUGUUGUAUGAGGGACUGCAGAAUGGAAUCGUGAUGACCAAGCAAAACACCUCGUUGACAGAAAUCUGUCCAUAUUUUGGGACACAGAGUCAGAAUGUCAUGUUGGUUUGCGGCUUGACUCUAGUUCAGACAACAAUUACAGACACCGUGUAGCAAUUUAACAGAUUAAGCCAAUACAAUGAAUGGCAGAAUGGAUCUUCUGGGUUACCGGCAGGAUUCUCGUUGGACACUGAGGAGAAGAUGUAAGCAUUAUUGACUUGACCAUGAGAUGAUGAAUAAGGAACUGACAGAUAGAGAAGGAUCCUUAAUGUUAGCAGUGAGGGAUGGAUCCAGGGAGAGGUGGGCAGAGCUAAAUAAGCGGAGUUCGGCUGGUGGUGGUGAACAGUGGUUUGGUGAUGAUGUCUCUUUGUUUGUUUCCUUUCAGAAAGAGGAGUGUAGACAACCGAAUAGCGGACGGUGGACAGGUAGGCGAGUAUGAGGUAAGCUGCUGAGCGUUGAGAUGGGUGGAUAUCAGGAGGACAACCAGAAGAACUGCAAGGAGAUUAGUGGAGGGAAUCUCGAGAGGAUUUCUCCAAUAGCUGCAGGAAUGAGGAUGCAGAGCACAGGAGCGUGAGAGCUUGAGAAGAGGCAUGGAGUGGUUCUCCUGGAAAGUGGGACAAAACACAGAUUAGAGUAAACACCUGAAUAACAACAACAAUGCAGAGAAGAUUGCCCUGAUUACCAUGCUUGGUGAGCAAACCACCUGGCAUCUGCCUCUUCUUCUUUUUUUCUAGGAUCGCAAACAGCUAAAAGGUGCCACCUACUGUACAUGAGUGUGUAACAUCCACAACGUCAACUCAUCAAAUUCUGCUUUUUGGUUUCAUAUUAUACAGAUUUAUGAACAAUGCUUUUCUAAAUAGAUUGGUUUUCUCUUUGUUCCCUUCAGAUCCCAAUAUUCCUUCUAAACUCCAUUCAGAUUUAGAAUCAGAAUCAGCUUUAUUGUCAAGUUUGAACAGACAAACAAGAAAUUUGACUCCGGUACACUUUGCUAAAGAAUAUAUUUUAAAAUGUACACAUAUAUAUACACUUGUCCUGCCUCUGUUACUGUUUCCAGCAAUCUUUCUCUUUCAUUUGUAAACACUUUAUAGUUCAACAAUAUAUGUUCAACAUUUUCUUUUUCUCAACAUCCCUCACAUUAAUCAUUGUUUUUUUUCUCCCAAUUACAUUGGGCAUGUCAUUUAGACAGGUAUGACCUACCCUCAUUCUCAUCAUUAUCACUUCUUCUCUUCUGCUUCUCUCUCCAUAGUUCUUUGUUAGUACCCAUUUCUGUAUUUUGUAUAAAUUUCUUCCUUUCUUAUCUUCAUUCCGCCUUUUUAGCCAAGUUUUUUAUGUAUUUUCUUUUGAUUAUGGAUUUACCCCUCCAUUCCUAAAAGGAAUGGCAUCUGCCUUGUGCUUUCUGUUCCUUUUUUUGCUCCUCCUGUUUUCUCCUGACGAGUUGCAGCUCCGGGGCCACACCUGCAAGUCAUACCCUGCAAAGAAGAGUAUCUCUAAAUUCCUAGCGUUGCUAAGGUGCUUUGGGAGGGGAUUAACAGACGCUGGCGCCGAUGAGCAAGCCUCGCAGAUUUCCAACCAGCAGGAAAAGAGACAAAGAAAGACGGGAAAGACGGAGGAAGAGCAGCGGCGGGUUAGACAACAGGGAGACGGCAGUAACAGCUUGUGUAAACAUGAUGACUUAAGAGACGUAAGGAGGAGUACGACGACAGAACAGGCACAUCACCGUCGGAGGAAGUCGAAAAGCAUGCGUCUGUAUAUUUGUACACCAUCCAGAGACAGGUGUUUGAGACCUUGUCCGGGCCUCGGCAGCUGGGUUCCUGUAACCGUGCCCGUCUUUGCGAGGGGUUGGC